rnacentral:rRNA from 1 species
CAGGCUUAACACAUGCAAGUCGAGGGGCAGCAUGAACUUUUCUUGCUAAGUUUGAUGGCGACCGGCGCACGGGUGAGUAACACGUAUCCAACCUGCCGAUGACUCGGGGAUAGCCUUUCGAAAGAAAGAUUAAUACCCGAUGGCAUAGUUCUUCCGCAUGGGAGGACUAUUAAAGAAUUUCGGUCUUCUAUGGGGAUGCGUUCCCUUAUAGUUGUUGUGCGGGGUAACGGCCCCCCCAGCCUUCAAUGGAUAGGGGUUCUGAGAGAAAGGUCCCCCCCAUUGUGAACUGAGACACGGUCCCAACUCCUACGGGAGGCGCCAGUGAGGAAUAUUGGUCACUGGACGAGAGUCUGAACCACCCAAGUAGCGUGAAGGAUGACUGCCCUAUGGGUUGUAAACUUCUUUUAUACGGGAAUAAAGUGAGGCACGUGUGCCUUUUUGUAUGUACCGUAUGAAUAAGGAUCGGCUAACUCCGUGCCAGCAGCCGCGGUAAUACGGAGGAUCCGAGCGUUAUCCGGAUUUAUUGGGUUUAAAGGGAGCGUAGGCGGACGCUUAAGUCCGUUGUGAAAGUUUGCGGCUCAACCGUAAAAUGCUAGUUGAUAUUGGGUGUUUUGAGUACAGUAGAGGCAGGCGGAAUUUGUGGUGUAGCGGUGAAAUGCUUAGAUAUCAGGAGGAACUCCGAUUGGGAAGGCAGCUUGCUGGACUGUAACUGACGCUGAUGCUCGAAAGUGUGGGUAUCAAACAGGAUUAGAUACCCUGGUAGUCCACACAGUAAACGAUGAAUACUCGCUGUUUGCGAUAUACAGUAAGCGGCCAAGCGAAAGCGUUAAGUAUUCCACCUGGGGAGUACGCCGGCAACGGUGAAACUCAAAGGAAUUGACGGGGGCCCGCACAAGCGGAGGAACAUGUGGUUUAAUUCGAUGAUACGCGAGGAACCUUACCCGGGCUUGAAUUGCAACUGAAUGAUGUGGAGACAUGUCAGCCGCAAGGCAGUUGUGAAGGUGCUGCAUGGUUGUCGUCAGCUCGUGCCGUGAGGUGUCGGCUUAAGUGCCAUAACGAGCGCAACCCUUAUCGAUAGUUACCAUCAGGUUAUGCUGGGGACUCUGUCGAGACUGCCGUCGUAAGAUGUGAGGAAGGUGGGGAUGACGUCAAAUCAGCACGGCCCUUACGUCCGGGGCUACACACGUGUUACAAUGGGGGGUACAGAAGGCAGCUACACGGCGACGUGAUGCUAAUCCCGAAAGCCUCUCUCAGUUCGGAUUGGAGUCUGCAACCCGACUCCAUGAAGCUGGAUUCGCUAGUAAUCGCGCAUCAGCCACGGCGCGGUGAAUACGUUCCCGGGCCUUGUACACACCGCCCGUCAAGCCAUGAAAGCCGGGGGUACUUGAAGUGCGUAACCGCGAGGAGCGCCUUAGGGUAAAACUGGUGA